rnacentral:rRNA from 1 species
GAUGAACGCUGGCGGCGUGCCUAAUACAUGCAAGUCGAGCGAACAGACGAGGAGCUUGCUCCUCUGACGUUAGCGGCGGACGGGUGAGUAACACGUGGAUAACCUACCUAUAAGACUGGGAUAACUUCGGGAAACCGGAGCUAAUACCGGAUAAUAUAUUGAACCGCAUGGGUCAAUAGUGAAAGACGGUUUUGCUGUCACGUAUAGAUGGAUCCGCGCCGCAUUAGCUAGUUGGUAAGGUAACGGCUUACCAAGGCAACGAUGCGUAGCCGACCGGAGAGGGUGAUCGGCCACACUGGAACUGAGACACGGUCCAGACUCCUACGGGAGGCAGCAGUAGGGAAUCUUACGCAAUGGGCGAAAGCUUGACGGAGCAACGCCGCGUGAGUGAUGAAGGUCUUCGGAUCGUAAAACUCUGUUAUUAGGGAAGAACAAAUGUGUAAGUAACUAUGCACGUCUUGACGGUACCUAAUCAGAAAGCCACGGCUAACUACGUG